UACGAAGGGGGCUAGCGUUGCUCGGAAUCACUGGGCGUAAAGGGCGCGUAGGCGGAUCUUUAAGUCGGGGGUGAAAGCCCAGGGCUCAACCCUGGAAUUGCCUUCGAUACUGAAGAUCUUGAGACCGGUAGAGGUAAGUGGAACUGCGAGUGUAGAGGUGAAAUUCGUAGAUAUUCGCAAGAACACCAGUGGCGAAGGCGGCUUACUGGACCGGUUCUGAACGCUGAGGCGCGAAAGCGUGGGGAGCAAACAGG
rnacentral:rRNA from 1 species